AAAAUGCCUUUGUUGGCUGUCAUUAUUCGAGUGCGCCUUCUCUCAAAAUGGUCACGAAAAAUACCACAGCAUGUCGGGUGCCAUUCCAUGAUAGCAUGCCAAGUUUCAUGAAUUUCAGACGAGUUUUAGAUUUACUAGAAUUUAAAAACAAAGUAUCUCAUCGUUUUGCCGAGAAUCAACGGUGCCCUGGUGUUUGAAAUUCAUUCCCAUUUCUUGCAUGGGACCUAAGCAUGCACCCAAGGACACAGAUUUGAUUUUUCAACCAAUUUAUAUGCACUGGAGCAUGUGCAUGUAGUUCGAAUUUGAAUUCUGCACAUAAAUGCAUUGAAAACUCAGUUAAUGCAUAAAGAUGUCCAAACGGACCCCGAAAAAUCACAAAAAUUGACACAACACUCCUGGAGCGGUGAAAUGCAUUGAGAUCGGAAAGAACACCAACGGCGAAAGCACUCUGCUGGGCCGACACUGACACUGAGAGACGAAAGCUAGGGGAGCAAAUGGGAUUAGAGACCCCAGUAGUCCUAGCCGUAAACGAUGGAUACUAGGUGUUGUGCGACUCAACCCGUGCAGUAUUGUUGUU
rnacentral:rRNA from 1 species